GUCACCAUUUCUGUUGUGUCUCAACAGUAACCUCUUGGUUGUGCUAUUUCACUUCUCUACGUUUAAGAAAACAAUAGCGCUGGCGAGUGCAGGAUUAAGAUACACUACUUGCUCCUCCGGUCUAGACAUCACAUCAUUAGCCAAGUCAGCUAGUUAGCUUUUUAUUUUCUGGACAAAAUGUCAACAACGACCGGCGGCGGAGAGUUUGGCAACCCUCUACGAAAGUUCAAGCUCGUCUUUCUGGGCGAACAGAGUGUUGGGAAGACCUCACUCAUCACCAGGUUUAUGUAUGAUAGUUUCGACAACACUUAUCAGGCAACCAUUGGCAUUGACUUUUUGUCAAAAACCAUGUACCUAGAAGAUCGCACGGUCCGGCUCCAGCUUUGGGACACUGCUGGACAGGAGCGUUUUCGUAGCCUAAUUCCCAGCUACAUCCGUGACUCUACCAUUGCCGUGGUUGUUUAUGACAUCACCAAUCUUAAUUCAUUCCAGCAAACCUCAAAGUGGAUUGAUGAUGUUAGAACAGAGAGAGGAAGUGAUGUCAUUAUCAUGCUUGUUGGGAACAAAACAGACUUGGCGGAUAAAAGGCAAGUUUCUGUUGAGGCGGCAGAGAGGAAAGCUCGUGAGCUCAAUGUGAUGUACAUAGAGACCAGUGCCAAGGCUGGCUAUAACGUCAAACAGACAGAUCACCACGGAGGAGGGUGAGCAGAGAGCUAAGGAACUGAAUGUCAUGUUCAUUGAAACCAGCGCAAAGACUGGCUACAAUGUCAAACAGCUGUUCCGUCGUGUUGCUGCUGCAUUGCCUGGGAUGGACAGCACACCAGAGAAAAGCAAAGAGGACAUGAUCGACAUCAAACUGGAAAAACAGCCAGAGAUGACUGUCACCGAGAGCAGCUGCUCAUGCUAGUACACCUCACUCCUCAUCCUCACCUAGCCUGUCUCCUCCCCACCAACAGCUUGUCUCUCAGUGGCCACUCUCUCCACCCAUGGCACACUGCCAAUGGGACAGAGAACCUGUCUUUUUUUUUCCUUUUCCAACUCAGUGACUUUUCAGAGUAACCGUGUGGAUGUGCAUUACUGUAUUGAAACAGAUUAUCUGUUGGGGGGGGGGGGUUCAAAAGUAAACAUUUAAAACAAGAAAUAAGUUAAACGAUAUGUUCAUUUUUAUCCAGUUGCAUGGCAUUAUGUAGGAUUGCAGACUGACAUAGUUAAGCGCUCAUGAGUUAUUGCACAGUUGGGAAUCUUAGUGCUGUUACUCUUGUCAUUGUUGUAAAGUAAAACUGAUUGGGAUUAUUUAAAUGACUCCAAGGUUGACUUCUUAGCCCAUUAUAUUUUACUUUUUUAUUUUAAAAUGGAGAGUUUGUCUACAAUUUUUCUAUCGCUCAAAUUAUUUCUUGACGUUGUUUUUUAAUUUUGAGGAAGUAGAGACAGGGUGUUACCAGUGACUUUACAUCAUUGCACACCAUCAUAUUGCCACAUUAGGCUCAAAAGGACCUUUUUUAUUGAAGAGGGGCAAUGGUCCAUUUAUAAGAUAUUAUUUAUACCUAACACAUCUGCAGGCUUUAACUGCCCAAUACAACAGUGUGUUAGCAGAGCAAAUUAACAUCAUUUGAGACCUUAUUUAAGACCGUGGAAAAGAGAUGUGUAACCAAACAAUGAGGUGAUAGAUCAUCAGAGGGAAAACAUCCCAAAUUCAGUAGAAUGGUUACAAACCUGAAACUAUGUCUGCAUUAAAACUAUAGCAAAUGUCUUUCUAAUGUUGUUAAAUUAGCUGCACGCAUACUAACAUGUCAGAGGAGGAGUUCUUUUGUUAUUUGAUGCCCCUAAUGUAGAAAAUAAAAAAUAAAAACCAGUGUUUAGUUUUUCCACGCUGAUGGAAAGUUGUCACUUUGGUCGCUAUGACGUACCCACCAUCUCAUUGAUAAUUUGUGUUGUGUUGAUUACACUAUUGCAAAACAUGCAGCAUGCUCACCAUGCAGGAUUUAUAUGGAUAAGAACACAGAUGCCUUGCUUGUUUGUUCACCAACGUUGUGCACUGAAUCAAGCCACAAUAUUGUAAAAUAUAAAAGAAGCCUGCUGACUGGUUCAUGGCUUCACUAGUUGUUUUGUAGAGCUGGUAAAUAAGAGUUAGUCCUCCGAUACAGCUAAUGCUUACUAACACCCUUGCUGUAAAAAGUGCAGAGAAGUUAGUCACAGUAUCCUUUGCUGUAUUGAUAUUGCCUGUGUAGGACUGUUGGUUUUUAUUUGUUUAUUUAUUUUGUAACUUGGACAUUCAGAUGACAUUGUAUGCUUGACCAAAAGUACAGAUGCUGACACGCAUGUUGAAAGUUUAUUUAAUUUAUUGAUUGCGUGUCUGCCAGGACUCCAUCUAAAGGCAACACUUGGGCCCGGUAACGUUUUUUCCUGUCACACUGCUAGAAAUUACUUUUUUGGUGUGUAGUCAGUAGCUUGGUUUACAGUCACAGGUAAAAGCUACACCAUCUCUACAGACACCCACACACACACACACACAGUGUAACACACACCAACUAACUAGCCAUAGCACAACAAAAGACACUGGUCAUUUGCUGUAGCUUGUUUGAAAUGUCAAUGUUUUAACAUGAGCAGCUCUUCUAUUAAUUGUCACUGACUAAAUACUCAGCUUUGUGCUAUUCUAAAUUGUGUCUGUCCAUUUGAAAAUAUGCUGUCUAUUGUGUUUAGCAACGUUUGUGUGAAUAAUGUACUAUUACUAUCUGAUGUAUAAAAAUGAGAAAUAAUGAAACGCAAGUGUAGGCCUACCACAUGGAAUAAAAUAAAGAUAUUUCACCAAAAUUUAA